rnacentral:rRNA from 1 species
GAUGAACGCUGGCGGCGUGCCUAAUACAUGCAAGUCGAGCGAACGGACGAGAAGCUUGCUUCUCUGAUGUUAGCGGCGGACGGGUGAGUAACACGUGGAUAACCUACCUAUAAGACUGGGAUAACUUCGGGAAACCGUAGCUAAUACCGGAUAAUAUUUUGAACCGCAUGGUUCAAAAGUGAAAGACGGUCUUGCUGUCACUUAUAGAUGGAUCCGCGCUGGAUUAGCUAGUUGGUAAGGUAACGGCCUACCAAGGCAACGAUGCAUAGCCGACCUGAGAGGGUGAUCGGCCACACUGGAACUGAGACACGGUCCAGACUCCUACGGGAGGCAGCAGUAGGGAAUCUUCCGCAAUGGGCGAAAGCCUGACGGAGCAACGCCGCGUGAGUGAUGAAGGUCUUCGGAUCGUAAAACUCUGUUAUUAGGGAAGAACAGAUGUGUAAGUAACUGUGCACAUCUUGACGGUACCUAAUCAGAAAGCCACGGCUAACUACGUG